AUUGAACGCUGGCGGCAUGCCUUACACAUGCAAGUCGAACGGUAACGCGGGGCAACCUGGCGACGAGUGGCGAACGGGUGAGUAAUGCAUCGGAGCGUACCCAGUUGUGGGGGAUAGCUCGGCGAAAGCCGGAUUAAUACCGCAUACGACCUACGGGUGAAAGCGGGGGAUCGCAAGACCUCGCGCAGUUGGAGCGGCCGAUGUCAGAUUAGGUUGUUGGUGGGGUAAAGGCUCACCAAGCCGACGAUCUGUAGCUGGUCUGAGAGGACGACCAGCCACACUGGGACUGAGACACGGCCCAGACUCCUACGGGAGGCAGCAGUGGGGAAUUUUGGACAAUGGGGGCAACCCUGAUCCAGCCAUGCCGCGUGCGGGAAGAAGGCCUUCGGGUUGUAAACCGCUUUUGUCGGGGAAGAAAUCUUCCGGGCUAAUACCCCGGGAGGAUGACGGUACCCGAAGAAUAAGCACCGGCUAACUACGUGCCAGCCGCCGCCGUAA
rnacentral:rRNA from 1 species